CCCAACAUAGGGCACUCAGAUCAAAAACCAUUCUUAUUGCUUUUUACAACUAGAUUUAUUAAUAAUUAAACACAUUCCUCCUCUUCUCAAUAAAUGGAUGCCACGGUGUAGAGUUUUUAAGGUCCUUGGAGAGUGCCCUACGAACAAACUCUGGUAGUAAUAUCCAGGGGUUCAAAUGAUCAGCCCCUUGGCUCCUGUUUUGCAGCAGUUCUAGAUUCUUCACGUGGUCAAAUGGCAUUUCCUGUCAACAGCAUUCACUUUCAAUUUGCCUCAGGGUUCUUUUGAAGACCCUGACCUGGAGUUACAUGCUGACUACGGUUCUUUGCGGGAAUGGGACCCACUCUCGGGGUUCCACAAUCUGCCAUUGUUGUUGUUCGACACGCCAAGGGUUCGGCCUAAGUAUUCAGCUUGGCUUUGGAAGCCUAGGAUCUCGGGGCUCUGGAGACGGGCGGAUCAUGUGUUGGUGUCACAACAGGAGACCCGUGUGUGGUCAGGGAAGUUGGAAUGUCUGCGGCUGUGUGCCCAGAGCUUCAUGAUCUUUGGGCACAAAGCUCGAAAAAAAGUGAUGUGGCUGACUUUUAACAUCGUAAACCAACGAGUUGGUUGUUAUGUCUGCUAUGUUUGUUACACUUUGCUGCCUGCUUGCAUUCUGCCUUGCCUGAGAAAUUGGACUGUCAAGUCAACUGACUCUGAAGACUCGUGGUAUUCAUUUACUUCUUCGUUGUUCUUUUAAGCUGCAGUGUAGGCUUUGUUUCCCAUUUGAGAGUUUUAGCUAACGGCCCUGUUUGGCCUAGCGCUUAUUGUUUUCUUUUCCUUUUAACACUGUUCACAUUAACUAUCGACCUGCUUCAGUGUCUCUCACUCCGCACUUGGGCCA